UCUGUUUUAGCCGCUCAUGUCCAAUCACAGGCUGAUAUUCUCUUCCUGACACAUGAGUCCAGCAUCAUUCCCACCACCCACCUGACUGAGACCAGGGUUGUGAUUACGUGCACGAAAUGAAGGAAAAUGGUCCGAAACGGAGUGAUGCGGCAAGGAAUGUCUAUCCUUGCCCUUACAGGAAGCCAGUGCGAUGGUUCCCAACUGUAAUGUAAUGUAUACAGAUGAGGAGGCACACAAAGGCAUGUCAAUUGGUAUUAGUAUGUGAUGCAGAUCACAUGCACCAUCCUCCUCCUCUACUUCUUCAAUGACAAUCCCAUAGGCCUCUACAUUAUGGACAAGGAAACCUGUUCGAUCACCAUGCACUGCAAAAUCAUUCUGGCAAUGGAUACAGAGAACAUCAACACAUUAACAUCAACACGCCAGAGGAUAUACCCAUUGGGGCUCUGCAGGGAGUUUUGUCACACCUGCUCCAGAGCGCCAGGCUGCCCAUCAUUACGCACACCGUUCACCUUCGUUACGCGCAUCAGCGCUUCAUUGGACUCACCUGUACUCUGUCACUUCUGCUCCCCCUCCAUGGCGCUCGAGGGCGCCAGGCUGCCUAUCAUUACGCACAUCGGUCCCCUUCGUUACGCGCAUCAGCGCUUUAUUGAACUCACCUGUACUCCUUCACGUUUUGAUUGCCUUCUCUAUAUUUGUCUGUUCCUCUAUUUCAUCCACGUGUCAGCAUUAUUGUCGUUUAUGUUUUCCCUGUCCACACGCUGUCCGUGGUCUGUUUUGUGCCCGUUGUUUAUUAAGUGUUCACUCCCUGUACUGGCUUCUCGUCUCCCAGCAUCUGUCCUCACAAGUUUACCUCAUAUUUGGAUUUCUUUAUAAUGUUUUGCCACUAAAAUCAUAAUAAAUGCUGACCGCUAAA